AGGGUUUGAUCAUGGCUCAGAACGUACGCUGGCGGCACGCCUAACACAUGCAAGUCGAACGAAGUAGCAAUACUUAGUGGCAGACGGGUGAGUAACAUGUGGGUAUCUGCCCUUUGGCCUGGAAUAACACGAGGAAACUUGUGCUAAUACCGGAUAAGUCUUUACGGAGAAAGCUUUAUGCACCAUUGGAUGAGCCCGCACUUGAUUAGUUUGUUGGUGGGGUAAUGGCCUACCAAGACUGUGAUCAAUAGCUGAUUUGAGAGGAUGAUCAGCCACAUUGGGACUGAGACACGGCCCAAACUCCUACGGGAGGCAGCAGUGGGGAAUCUUGCACAAUGGAGGAAACUCUGAUGCAGCGAUGCCGCGUGAGUGAAGAAGGCCCUUGGGUUGUAAAGCUCUUUCGUCGGGGAAGAAAAUGACUGUACCCGAAUAAGAAGGUCCGGCUAACUUCGUGCCAGCAGCCGCGGUAAUACGAAGGGACCUAGCGUAGUUCGGAAUUACUGGGCUUAAAGAGUUCGUAGGUGGUUGAAAAAGUUAGUGGUGAAAUCCCAGAGCUUAACUCUGGAACUGCCAUUAAAACUUUUCAGCUAGAGUAUGAUAGAGGAAAGCAGAAUUUCUAGUGUAGAGGUGAAAUUCGUAGAUAUUAGAAAGAAUACCAAUUGCGAAGGCAGCUUUCUGGAUCAUUACUGACACUGAGGAACGAAAGCAUGGGUAGCGAAGAGGAUUAGAUACCCUCGUAGUCCAUGCCGUAAACGAUGUGUGUUAGACGUUGGAAAUUUAUUUUCAGUGUCGCAGGGAAACCGAUAAACACACCGCCUGGGGAGUACGACCGCAAGGUUAAAACUCAAAUGAAUUGACGGGGACCCGCACAAGUAGUGGAGCAUGUGGUUUAAUUCGAAGAUACGCGCAGAACCUUACCAACACUUGACAUGUUCGUCGCGACUUUAAGAGAUUAAAGUUUUCGGUUCGGCCGGACGAAACACAGGUGCUGCAUGGCUGUCGUCAGCUCGUGUCGUGAGAUGUUGGGUUAAGUCCCGCAACGAGCGCAACCCUCACUUUUAGUUGCCAUCAUUAAGUUGGGCACUCUGAAAGAACUGCCAGUGAUAAGCUGGAGGAAGGUGGGGAUGACGUCAAGUCCUCAUGGCCCUUACGUGUUGGGCUACACACGUGCUACAAUGGUAUCUACAACAGGAAGCAAGACUGCGAAGUUAAGCAAAUCCCUAAAAGAUACCUCAGUUCGGAUUGCACUCUGCAACUCGAGUGCAUGAAGCUGGAAUUACUAGUAAUCGUGGAUCAGCGUGCCACGGUGAAUGCGUUCCCGGGUCUUGUACACACCGCCCGUCACACCAUGGGAGUUGGUUCUACCUUAAGGCAAGGUUUCAAACCCUUGACCACGGUAUAGUCAGCGACUGGGGUGAAGUCGUAACAAGGUAACCGUA
rnacentral:rRNA from 1 species